CCUACGGGUGGCUGCAGUAGGGAAUAUUGCUCAAUGGGGGAAACCCUGAUGCAGCGAUGCCGCGUGGAGGAUGAAGGUUUUCGGAUUGUAAACUCCUUUUAUUAGGGACGAUAAUGACGGUAUCUAACGAAUAAGCACCGGCUAACUACGUGCCAGCAGCCGCGGUAAUACGGAGGGUGCGAGCGUUACUCGGAAUCACUGGGCGUAAAGGGCGCGUAGGCGGGAUGGCAAGUCAGAUGUGAAAUCUUGGGGCUUAACCACAGAAGUGCAUUUGAAACUGUAGGUCUUGAGUAUGGGAUGGGCAGGUGGAAUUCUUGGUGUAGGGGUAAAAUCCGUAGAGAUUAAGAGGAAUACCAGUGGCGAAGGCGACCUGCUAGAACAUAACUGACGCUGAUGCGCGAAAGCGUGGGGAGCAAACAGGAUUAGAUACCCUGGUAGUC
rnacentral:rRNA from 1 species